rnacentral:rRNA from 1 species
UAGGGAAUCUUGCGCAAUGGGCGAAAGCCUGACGCAGCCACGCCGCGUGAGUGAUGAAGGCCUUCGGGUCGUAAAGCUCUUUCAGCAGGGACGAAAAUGACGGUACCUGCAGAAGAAGCCCCGGCUAACUCCGUGCCAGCAGCCGCGGUAAUACGGAGGGGGCUAGCGUUGUUCGGAAUUACUGGGCGUAAAGCGCACGUAGGCUGUCGGCAGAGUUAGGCGUGAAAGGCCUGGGCUCAACCCAGGAACUGCGUUUAAUACUUGCCGGCUAGAGUCCGGAAGAGGGUAGUGGAAUUCCCAGUGUAGAGGUGAAAUUCGUAGAUAUUGGGAAGAACACCAGUGGCGAAGGCGACUGCCUGGUACGGUACUGACGCUGAGGUGCGAAAGCGUGGGGAGCGAACAGG